rnacentral:rRNA from 1 species
GGUCCACCUAAUGGUGGUUACUACUUAGCUGAGCAUUUUACAGAUUUGUCUCUUGAUGCUCUUCACCGAGUGUCAAGAGUGGUCUGUACGUUUACUUUGAAAAAAUUAGAGUGCUUAAAGCAGGCAACUCGCCCGAAUAAUCUUGCAUGGAAUAAUGGAAUAGGACCUUGGUUCUAUUUUGUUGGUCUCCGGAAUCUGAGGUAAUGAUUAAGAGGGACAGACGGGGGCAUUCGUAUUGCGCCGCUAGAGGUGAAAUUCUUGGACCGGCGCAAGACGAACUACAGCGAAAGCAUUUGCCAAGAAUGUUUUCAUUAAUCAAGAACGAAAGUUAGAGGUUCGAAGGCGAUCAGAUACCGCCCUAGUUCUAACCAUAAACGAUGCCAA